rnacentral:lncRNA from 1 species
UUUCUUUCAACCUGAUGAAAUUUCCCUUUGUAAGUUUGGUGAGUUGGAAAGAAGCUUCUAGGGGACUUUAUGGAACAAGUUGCUUGUGCAACAGAUGAACACUUCAAGCAUUUUCUUUUCUUUCAAUUUUACAUCUCUUCUUUAGGAAUAUAAAAACAUUCUUGCUUGAAUGAUUUUAUCGCACAGAAUUAUCCAAAUGUAAGCACCUUUUAUGCUAAACAGGAAAAUAGUUCCCUUUGAUUGUUUGGAUACUUGACAAUGAUGGAAAUGAAGAAUGCUACUUCUUUUGCAAAAUAGUUGAAGUGUAUGCGUAUGACUACUUCGGUAGCACGUAUAAGUGCAUAUGCAGAUUUCUGUAGACAGAUUUGGAUAUGAUAAUAAAAAUACAGGAUUCUCCAAUGGGAGUGAUUUUUAAUUCUCCUCUGCUGGUGAAAUGCCCUAAUGAGUUUAGAUUGUUGCUCUCCUACAGAUGUAGUUUGAUAUGUAGACAAAGGUUAAACUGAGGUUCAUAGGUUAGUUGGAGAAAGCUGAUGAGGUGAUCUGCAAGGGCUAGUGCUUCAUAAGACAGUUCACAAAUGUAUGCAGAUAUAGACUUAUAGUAAGAAGGGGUAACAUUCUUCCCUCAUUGAAAUGGUUGGGAAAAUAGUUUAUGCUACACAUAUUUACCAACCAUGCAGAUUGUGGUGGUUUUCAACCACACUUUUUGCACUAAAACACGUAGAGUAGUUUCACAGACCAAUGAGCUUUGAAGGAAAUAUAUGCUCAUGUCGGUGUCUGUCAAAAGUUCCAUUUCUAGAUCAAAUUUCCUCCACCAAUAAGUGUAAUGGCAUCUUCAGUUAGAGAGUUGACGUACAAUGGUGAAGGAAAAAUUCAAGCAGUAUUUUCCAAGUUUGUAUGGGAAAAGAGCUUUCUAUGAGAAUGUGAUGUUUCUGGUGUGGAAUAUUCAUUGAGUUGCAACCUACUCAUUGAAUUUAAAAUUUGCUCUGUUUUAAUUAUGACAAGUGAAAUUGAGACAUAUCAUGUGCUGGUUGACAUAGGUAAUGGCAAUAAUUAUUAUCUUUUUAUGUAGAUUAAAGAUCUAUUGCGAUAUAUAUUUUCAUCCCUUAAUAUAACAGACUAAUG